rnacentral:rRNA from 1 species
UACGUAGGGGGCUAGCGUUGUCCGGAAUCAUUGGGCGUAAAGAGCGUGUAGGCGGCCCGGUAAGUCCGCUGUGAAAGUCGGGGGCUCAACCCUCGAAUGCCGGUGGAUACUGUCGGACUAGAGUCCGGAAGAGGCGAGUGGAAUUCCCGGUGUAGCGGUGAAAUGCGCAGAUAUCGGGAGGAACACCAAUGGCGAAGGCAGCUCGCUGGGACGGUACUGACGCUGAGGCGCGAAAGCGUGGGGAGCAAACAGG